rnacentral:lncRNA from 1 species
UGUUGUAUGUCUUUCAACUUGAAAACAGUGAUAAAAAGAGGUAGAAGAUAACAUUGAGGCAAUCAAAGCAUCAAAAAAGAUUAAGGUCAGGCUAACCAUGUCAAACAGACAUACACUUCUAACAUCAUUACAUACACCAAUUAAAGUUGACUUAUUGAUUUAAUAAUUCAGAUAGGGUACUUAUCCAUGAACUGAGGUUCGUUCAGGC